UACGUAGGGUGCGAGCGUUAAUCGGAAUUACUGGGCGUAAAGCGUGCGCAGGCGGUUUUGUAAGCCAGAUGUGAAAUCCCCGGGCUUAACCUGGGAAUGGCAUUGGAAACUGGCGGGCUUGAGUGUGGCAGAGGGGGGUGGAAUUCCGCGUGUAGCAGUGAAAUGCGUAGAGAUGCGGAGGAACACCGAUGGCGAAGGCAGCCCCCUGGGCUAACACUGACGCUCAGGCACGAAAGCGUGGGGAGCAAACAGG
rnacentral:rRNA from 1 species